rnacentral:rRNA from 1 species
ACACCGGCAGCCCAAGUGGUGGCCAUUUUUAUUGGGCCUAAAGCGUUCGUAGCCGGCCUGAUAAGUCUCUGGUGAAAUCCCGCAGCUUAACUGUGGGAAUUGCUGGAGAUACUAUCAGGCUUGAGGUCGGGAGAGGUUAGAGGUACUCCCAGGGUAGGGGUGAAAUCCUAUAAUCCUGGGAGGACCACCUGUGGCGAAGGCGUCUAACUGGAACGAACCUGGCGGUGAGUAACGAAAGCCAGGGGCGCGAACCGGAUUAGAUACCCGGGUAGUCCUGGCCGUAAACGAUGUGGACUUGGUGUUGGGAUGGCCUCGAGCUGCCCCAGUGCCGAAGGGAAGCUGUUAAGUCCACCGCCUGGGAAGUACGGUCGCAAGACUGAAACUUAAAGGAAUUGGCGGGG